rfam:Trichobilharzia regenti genome assembly, scaffold: TRE_scaffold0000032
AUCCAUAUGACGAGUCCUAAAUAGGACGAAAUGUGCAUCUUGGAU